GGAUGAACGCUGGCGGUCUGCUUAACACAUGCAAGUCGAACGGGCUCUUCGGAGCUAGUGGCGGACGGGUGAGUAACGCGUGAGAAUCUGCCUUCAGGAGGGGGAUAACGACUGGAAACGGUCGCUAAUACCCCAUAUGCCUCCGGGUGAAAAGUAAUUCGCCUGAAGAUGAGCUCGCGUCAGAUUAGCUAGUUGGUGGGGUAAGAGCCUACCAAGGCGACGAUCUGUAGCUGGUCUGAGAGGAUGAUCAGCCACACUGGGACUGAGACACGGCCCAGACUCCUACGGGAGGCAGCAGUGGGGAAUUUUCCGCAAUGGGCGCAAGCCUGACGGAGCAAGACCGCGUGGGGGAUGACGGCCUAAUGGUUGUAAACCCCUUUUCUCUGGGAAGAAGACUGACGGUACCAGAGGAAUCAGCCUCGGCUAACUCCGUGCCAGCAGCCGCGGUAAUACGGAGGAGGCAAGCGUUAUCCGGAAUUAUUGGGCGUAAAGCGUCCGUAGGUGGUUAUUCAAGUCUGCUGUCAAAGCGUGGGGCUUAACUCCAUAGAGGCAGUGGAAACUGAGUGACUAGAGUGCGGUAGGGGUCGAGGGAAUUCCCAGUGUAGCGGUGAAAUGCGUAGAUAUUGGGAAGAACACCAGUGGCGAAAGCGCUCGACUGGGCCUGCACUGACACUGAGGGACGAAAGCUAGGGGAGCGAAAGGGAUUAGAUACCCCUGUAGUCCUAGCCGUAAACGAUGGAUACUAGGUGUUGCUCGUCAUCGACCCGAGCAGUGCCGUAGCCAACGCGUUAAGUAUCCCGCCUGGGGAGUACGCUCGCAAGAGUGAAACUCAANAGGAAUUGACGGGGGCCCGCACAAGCGGUGGAGUAUGUGGUUUAAUUCGAUGCAACGCGAAGAACCUUACCAGGGCUUGACAUGUCCG
rnacentral:rRNA from 1 species